rnacentral:rRNA from 1 species
AACGAACGCUGGCGGCAGGCUUAACACAUGCAAGUCGAGCGCCCCGAAAGGGGAGCGGCAGACGGGUGAGUAACGCGUGGGAAUGUGCCCUUUGGUCUGGAAUAACUCAGGGAAACUUGAGCUAAUACCGGAUAAGACCUUCGGGGGAAAGAUUUAUUGCCAUUGGAGCAGCCCGUGUCAGAUUAGCUAGUUGGUGAGGUAAAAGCUCACCAAGGCGAUGAUCUGUAGCUGGUCUGAGAGGACGACCAGCCACACUGGGACUGAGACACGGCCCAGACUCCUACGGGAGGCAGCAGUGGGGAAUAUUGGACAAUGGGGGCAACCCUGAUCCAGCCAUGCCGCGUGAGUGAUGAAGGCCUUAGGGUUGUAAAGCUCUUUUACUCGGGAAGAUAAUGACUGUACCGAGAGAAUAAGCCCCGGCUAACUUCGUGCCAGCCGCCGCGGUAA